rnacentral:rRNA from 1 species
GAUGAACGCUGACAGAAUGCUUAACACAUGCAAGUCAACUUGAAUUUGGGUUUUUAACUUAGGUUUGGGUGGCGGACGGGUGAGUAACGCGUAAAGAACUUGCCUCACAGCUAGGGACAACAUUUGGAAACGAAUGCUAAUACCUAAUAUUAUGAUAAUAGGGCAUCCUAUAAUUAUGAAAGCUAUAAGCGCUGUGAGAGAGCUUUGCGUCCCAUUAGCUAGUUGGAGAGGUAACGGCUCACCAAGGCGAUGAUGGGUAGCCGGCCUGAGAGGGUGAUCGGCCACAAGGGGACUGAGACACGGCCCUGACUCCUACGGGAGGCAGCAGUGGGGAAUAUUGGACAAUGGACCAAGAGUCUGAUCCAGCAAUUCUGUGUGCACGAUGAAGUUUUUCGGAAUGUAAAGUGCUUUCAGUUGGGAAGAAAGAAAUGACGGUACCAACAGAAGAAGUGACGGCUAAAUACGUG